GGCUGGUCCAAAGAUAAUGACUUAUCUCAACUGACUGUUCAUAGCUACAGAUCGAACUCCUUGUUCAACGCUUUCCUCCUUUCUCACUUUGAUUAGUCUAAA
ensembl:misc_RNA Y_RNA Y RNA